rnacentral:rRNA from 1 species
UAGGGAAUCUUCGGCAAUGGGGGCAACCCUGACCGAGCAACGCCGCGUGAGUGAAGAAGGUUUUCGGAUCGUAAAGCUCUGUUGUAAGAGAAGAACGUGUGUGAGAGUGGAAAGUUCACACCGUGACGGUAACUUACCAGAAAGGGACGGCUAACUACGUGCCAGCAGCCGCGGUAAUACGUAGGUCCCGAGCGUUGUCCGGAUUUAUUGGGCGUAAAGCGAGCGCAGGCGGUUUAAUAAGUCUGAAGUUAAAGGCAGUGGCUUAACCAUUGUUCGCUUUGGAAACUGUUAAACUUGAGUGCAGAAGGGGAGAGUGGAAUUCCAUGUGUAGCGGUGAAAUGCGUAGAUAUAUGGAGGAACACCGGUGGCGAAAGCGGCUCUCUAGUCUGUAACUGACGCUGAGGCUCGAAAGCGGGGGGAGCAAACAGG